rnacentral:rRNA from 1 species
UACGAAGGGGGCUAGCGUUGCUCGGAAUCACUGGGCGUAAAGCGCACGUAGGCGGAUCUUUAAGUCAGGGGUGAAAUCCCAAGGCUCAACCUUGGAACUGCCUUUGAUACUGGGGAUCUCGAGUCCGGAAGAGGUUGGUGGAACUCCGAGUGUAGAGGUGAAAUUCGUAGAUAUUCGGAAGAACACCAGUGGCGAAGGCGGCCAACUGGUCCGGUACUGACGUUGAGGUGCGAAAGCGUGGGGAGCAAACAGG